rnacentral:rRNA from 1 species
AUGGCUAUCUUCGAUGAGUUCUACGUUGGCUCCAUUGACCUGGGGCGACUCAACUACGGGAUCAUCUUGCUCAUCCCGAAGGUUGCCGGGGCAUCUGACAUCCGCCAAUUUCGGCCGAUUACGGUCAUCAACGUCAUCUUCAGGAUCCUGGCUAAAGGGUACGCCAAUAGGGUAACCCUGCUGGCCGACCGUGUCACGCACCCCAACCAGACGGCUUUCAUUAAGGGCCGGUUCAUCCUGGAUGGGGUCCUAGUCCUUCAUGAAGUCCUCCAUGAGGUCCGCUCCAAAAACCUCAAGGCGGUCUUCCUGAAGAUUGACUUUCAUAAAGCCUACGACACGGUUAGCUGGCCAUUCCUUAGGGAGGUCCUUCUUCGGAAGGGCUUUGACGACCGGUGGGUGACUCGUGUCAUGCAAAUGGUCACGUGCGGUCGUACGGCCGUGAACAUCAACGGCGAGAUUGGGCCCUUCUUCCCCACCCUAUGUGGGACAAGGCGAUCCCUUCUCCCCGUUCUUGUUCAAUAUGGUCGUAGACGCGCUAGCGUCCAUCCUUGA